UACGUAGGGUGCAAGCGUUGUUCGGAAUUACUGGGCGUAAAGGGAGCGUAGGCGGGGACUUAAGUUAGGAGUUUAAUGCACGGGCUCAACCCGUGUUUGGCUCUUAAUACUGAGUUUCUUGAAUAUGGGAGAGGGCGAUGGAAUUCCAGGUGUAGCGGUGGAAUGCGUAGAUAUCUGGAAGAACACCAGUAGCGAAGGCGGUCGCCUGGCCCAAUAUUGACGCUGAGGCUCGAAAGCUAGGGGAG
rnacentral:rRNA from 1 species